rnacentral:rRNA from 1 species
CCUACGGGUGGCAGCAGUGGGGAAUAUUGCGCAAUGGGCGAAAGCCUGACGCAGCGACGCCGCGUGAGGGAUGAAGGUCUUCGGAUCGUAAACCUCUGUCAGCAGGGACGAACGGUCACUGUGCUAAUCAGCAGUGAAUUGCCGGUACCUGCAAAGGAAGCACCGGCUAACUCCGUGCCAGCAGCCGCGGUAAAACGAAGGGUGCGAGCGUGAAUCGGAAGUACUGGGCGGAAAGCGCUCGUAGGGGGUAAGUAAAGUCAAGGGUGAAAUCCCCGCGCUCAACGUGGGAGCUGCCUGUGAAACUGGCAAACUGGAGUGUGUGAGAGGAUAGUGGAAUUCCAGGUGUAGGGGUGAAAUGCGUAGAUAUCUGGAGGAACAUCAGUGGCGAAGGCGACUAUCUGGCACAUAACUGACGCUGAGGAGCGAAAGCGUGGGUAGCAAACAGGAUUAGAUACCCUUGUAGUC